CCUGUAAGAAGUAGAAACAUUUUUUUUUAUGAGGGCUCCUUGCUCCUUUUACAAGAUUAGGACAAUGAAUGACACAACCCUUGUUCUUCUGCUGUAAUUAUGCACUAGUAUGGCUCUGCUCAAGGAGUUGGACACAAUGGCCGCUCACAGCAGAUGCGGUGCAGGGGGGGUGGUGGGCGUACACAUGUGUGCAUGUUUUUUUUUCUCUUCAUUCUCUGGUGGAGAUGCACACAAUGAACACUAUUCUUGGGCUCCAUGAUUUGAAUGAAUUCAGAAGAGUUGACAGAGGCACGCACUGUUUGGAUCGUCUGUUUGUGUGCCUUUCCCUCCCAUGAACAAGGCUUUUUCAUGAACGGGUGGCGUGCUUUAUUGUUCUGCAUGUGGCAGACUUAACAGCAAGAAAACUAUAUGGAGAAGGUGCAACGUUGACGCCAUGUGCUCGAGUCAGAAAGUAUUUCUAACUGAUCCAGGAAAAGGGGGUGUGGCACCCUGAAUGAGCGUGGGCCACUCACUCUCUCCCUCUCUGCUUUGAUGGAGUGGUUGCGUAAUAUAUCCCACCAUCCAACCAAUAGGUACAGAUACAAUCAUCCCACUGAGCCGUCGUGCACGUGCACGAGUGUUAGUUGGGGGGGUGUUUCUGUCUCUCCACGCCCCCCAUCUUUCAUCCCUGUGCUCCCAUAGGUCUGGUUCAAAGGUAACAGAGGGACCGGGGGCUCUAUAAAGAUCCAGAGGGUCCACGCUGACAUUCUGCUCUUUGCAUUUCUUCGGUUCUGACUUGUUUAUUCCACCAGCACACAUCAAAAUGCCCAGCAAGAGGAAGAAGAACAAGCGUCGCAUGAGGAGGGUGCAGGCGCAGAGGAGGGCGCUAGAAGAGCAGCAUGCAGCCAACCCACCAGUCAAAGCAAGCCCUGGCAUCGCAGCGAGUGCGCCCCCUGCAGCAACCCCAAAGAAAGGCGCUAAAGUGCCAGCACCAGUUCCAGUAAAGAUCCCAGACGCCGUUCCCAUCGCUGUCCCCAUCGUGGAGGCCCCUGUUGUCGAGGCCCCCAUUGUGGAGACCCUUGAAGUAGAACUCAAACCAGUUGUUCAAGAACCCAUCACAGAGCCCGUCCCAGUCGAGGUAGAGACACCAGAGCCUGAGGCUGUGGUGUUGGAACAGACUCCAGCAGAAGUCGAGGUUGAAGUCACGGCACCGGUCACUGAAGAAGCGCUGGUCGUUGAGACUCCACCAGCGGAGCCUGCUGUAGUUGAAGCUGAGAUUGUAGAGGAGGCCGAACCUAUCAUUCCCGAAACAGAACCAGAAACUGAGGUCAUACCCCCAGCUGAGGCUCCAGUGGAGGCUCUUGCUGAGAUUGAGAUUCAGACAGAGGUGACAGCAGUCACAACUACAGAGACAGAACAGGAUGCUCCUGUCCAAUCAGUGGAAAUCCUAGAGCUGCCAGUCACCAUCCCCGAGGCUGUGGUCGAAGAGGCUGAAGCCCCCGUAACCGCAGCGGAAGAGACCCCUGCCACACAGGCAAUCGCUGACAGCCUGGUCGACGACUUCGUUGUCACAGAAUCAGCCUCAGCAGUGGAGGUCGCCAUCGCUGAGUCUGCUGCUGUCGAGCCGGAAAUUGUGGAAGUGACUGACACCCUCGUAAUCCAGUCGGAAUGUUUGGAGGUGACGCCCGCUGAGCCUGAGCCCACUCCUGUUCUUGCCCCUGCAGAGGAAAUGAUCAUCGAUGCCGCUGCUGAGCAGACAUGUCGUGAUAUGCUCUCAGAAGAGCCAAAGCCAGAAAUCUGUGACAUCUCGUGUCAGAUGCAGCUCAACGUGGAGUCCGUGGAGACGUCGGUAGAGGCGACGCUCAAUGGACACAUUGUUCCAGAAGUCUCCAUUGAGGGCUAGAUACACAUCUCACAGCUUGGAAGACCUUUUUUGUCUUUAUUCCCCUUUGGUCAACUGGCGGACUCAAAGCUUUAAAGGGAGUCAACCAGUCGACGUUUUUUUAUUUUUCAGGGCUUACGACAGAACCGCCAGGAAAUUGAAGGGACAUCCACACUCUGAAGUGCCUUUCCUGCCCUUGUUCCUGUCAAAAACUCCAAACCAGAUGUCAACACGCCAACAACGGCUGCAUUCAAGGCAGCAC
rnacentral:lncRNA from 1 species